rnacentral:rRNA from 1 species
AGUGAACGCUGGCGGUAGGCCUAACACAUGCAAGUCGAACGGCAGCACAGUAAGAGCUUGCUCUUACGGGUGGCGAGUGGCGGACGGGUGAGGAAUACAUCGGAAUCUACUUUUUCGUGGGGGAUAACGUAGGGAAACUUACGCUAAUACCGCAUACGACCUACGGGUGAAAGCAGGGGAUCUUCGGACCUUGCGCGAUUGAAUGAGCCGAUGUCGGAUUAGUUAGUUGGCGGGGUAAAGGCCCACCAAGGCGACGAUCCGUAGCUGGUCUGAGAGGAUGAUCAGCCACACUGGAACUGAGACACGGUCCAGACUCCUACGGGAGGCAGCAGUGGGGAAUAUUGGACAAAGGGCGCAAGCCUGAUCCAGCCAUACUGCGUGGGUGAAGAAGGCCUUCGGGUUGUAAAGCCCUUUUGUUGGGAAAGAAAAGCAGCAGGUUAAUACCCCGCUGUUCUGACGGUACCCAAAGAAUAAGCACCGGCUAACUUCGUG